UGGCUCAGGAUGAACGCUGGCGGCGUGCUUAACACAUGCAAGUCGAACGAAGCAAUUGCGACAGAAGCCUUCGGGUGGAAGAUGCAAUUGACUUAGUGGCGGACGGGUGAGUAACGCGUGGGUAACCUGCCUUGUACAGGGGGAUAACAGUUAGAAAUGACUGCUAAUACCGCAUAAGCGCACAGUACCGCAUGGUACAGUGUGAAAAACUCCGGUGGUACAAGAUGGACCCGCGUCUGAUUAGCUAGUUGGUAAGGUAACGGCUUACCAAGGCGACGAUCAGUAGCCGACUUGAGAGAGUGAUCGGCCACAUUGGGACUGAGACACGGCCCAAACUCCUACGGGAGGCAGCAGUGGGGAAUAA
rnacentral:rRNA from 1 species